GAGACACACAAAUCUAAAAGGCGCGAGAGAAUGGAUGAUAGUAGUUACACCUCUAAGUUACUGUCUUGCAAGGUGACUUCCGAGGUCCUGGAGGCCACUCGGGUUAAUCGAAGGAAGAGUGCUCUGGCCUUGCGCUGGGAGGCAGGGAUUUAUGCCAACCAGGAGGAGGAGGACAAUGAAUAAACUUCCUUCAGCCCAGGAAACUCCUUGGCCAAAGAGUUUCCGCAAAGAAACCAAGAAAUUAUUGAAUCAGACGCAUUUUAAUAGACUACUUAUUAAAGUGCAUACAAACUCAAUAACCCUCAUGUAGACCAGAAGCUGCAAUACACAAUGAUAAUAAAACAAAACGAAACACAAAAAAGCAAAGCGAAGCGAACAGGAAGUUCACCCAUCAAACUCUGAGACGGGGCAGAGGAGAAAGGGUGUCUUUGUGACUCAAAGAAAGCCUUGGCUUUGGACCAUUCCACAACUGAUCCAAAGGGACACAGACGGGACAAGCAAGUCCACGUAGUUGCUGCAGGCAGAACUGAAGCCAGCCUCGGCUGGGCGUUACGGAGGAGCAAACAGGCCAUUCCAAGGCAACCAACAGGCCCCAGCCUGGUGCAGCCUACAGCACACAGGCUACCCCUCCACCAGCUUCCCACCCCUUUCUCCGUCAAGGCAUCAGAAGUGUUGGGUUGACUCCAUUUUCUCCAGCAGCCAUAAAAACAAAUGGUGUUCCUUUCCAUAGUUGCCCCAAAAGGAGGCAACAAGGAUUCGAUCUCUCUUAUAUGUAAUCAUUUGAAAUUGGGAGCACCUAAUGGUCACAAUAUAUAUAAAGUCUGUAUUUUUAAGGCAA
rnacentral:lncRNA from 1 species